rnacentral:lncRNA from 1 species
AGAGCCCCGCCUGUCCUCGGCCUACCGCGGCGAGCAGGCAUUCCGGGUCAGACCGGCGCGGGGCGCUGCGGCCCAACUCCUUAGUAGGACGACGUGACUCGAGGGGCCGGAGGACGGAGGUGGGAGCCCGGGCUAGAGGGUGGAGGCUGGGGAGGUUGCCUGGUCACUCUGGCGCUCCGCUGCCGGGGGCAUCCUCCGGCCCAGCAAAGGUGCAGCCUGGGAAGAAGGCGUCAGCACCACCCAGAGAAGAGGAGAGGGGACUUGGCACGCCUCAGGAAGGAAAAAAGGAAGGCUCUCGGGACCACCCAAUAAGCAACCGGGAAACCACAUACCAUGGACAGUGCUCGGGGAAUUUCGGCUCCUCCUCAUCCCUGGAGGUUCCAGGGAUCUGGCAGAGAAAGAAGCCCAGUCUCACAGCAAUGACUCCUGAACAUCCUUUGCAAACACUAUUUAGGACAGAUGGACUGAAGUAGGCCCUGGGGAGAGUUGGGGGCAUUUCCGGAGGCCAGACCAAAGGUGAUCUCCAGGAGAUUUGGAUGUUAGUGCAGGAUAGCUCAGAGCCAAGUGGCAGAUAAGUCUUUGGGAGCCAGAAGGGCUCUUUCUUCUCUAAGGAACAAGUGUAGACCUAUAGGGGCAAGAACCUGUGGCAACCCUGGGAGAGGUCUGCAGAUUCAGGAGGGAACAUCCCAAAACUCAGCAGAGGAGGAGAGGGAGCUUUUGUUGGUCACCUGGAACCACUACCAAUCCAUGUUCAUGUCAAAUUAAAUGAUCACUUUGAAGUUUUUCAGCCUACCAAAAUCAUGUGAAUUUGGUCUGCAAAACCAGACGACUGCCUGCUUGCAGUUAAGAAUUCUCAGCGGGAGGCCGGGCGCAGUGGCUCAUGCCACCAGCACUUUGGGAGGCUGAGGUGGGUGGAUCACGAGGUCAGGAGUUCGAGACCAGCCUGGCUAACACGGUGAAACCCUGUCUCUACUAAAAAUACAAAAGUUAGCCUGGUGUGGUGGCGGGCACCUGUAGUCCCGGCUACUUGGGAAGCUGAGGCAGGAGAAUCUCUUGGACCUGGAAGGUGGAGGUUGCAGUGAGCUGAGAUCGCGCCAUUGCACUCCAGCCUGGGCAACAGAGCGAGACUCUGUCUCAAAAAAAAAAAAAAAAGAAGAAGAAGAAAAAAAAGAAUUCUCAGGGGGAGAUUAUUCCCCUUUCUUAGUACCAAGGUUGGAUGUAGGCAGUUUUCUUUGUAGUCCCCUGGUUUGAGGGAGAGAGGUUAGGUCAGACAGGGGCAGGUUUCUUUCUAAUUCACCUUCACAGUGUAGGCAUACACUGGCCUUUGAGGUCCUGGCCUUAUGGAGAAGUUUCUAAAUAGACUCCCCAUGGUGAGGGGGCCCUGGGCUUUGUCUUUCUCAUAAGCCCAGAGACCCCUUGAAAACCAAUGAUCAGGUUCUCUGGGUUCGGCAACUGCCCUCAAGAUGAAAGCCAAUGACAGAGCUUUGCUUACCUUUGUAGCUUCUUGCUUUCAUUUACUUUUUUGGCCUCAGUGUGUUUCUUACAUUUUUGCUAGCUUAUGGAUGCAUUUAAUUUUAAAGAUAGAUAGAGUCUAGUAUUUAAAGUUGUUUUCAGGAGGAAGUUUAGCCCAAGUCCUUAGGCCACCAUGUUGCAAGAAAACCUAACGGGCAGUUUUCGGUUCUGAUGCAGCUUGAUUUUUGUGCUGCAUCUGGCCCUAUUGACCAGUCCCUCAGCUCUUCUGUUUGGUUUUGUUUUUCCCGACACUCUGACUACUCCUUUUUGGUUUCCUUCACUGGCCCAUCCCUGUUCCUCCACCUGUUCCUUAAAUGUUGGUCCUCCUUAGUCUCCGCUUCUUGUCUUAUGCCUCAUUAUCUCACCACUCCCCUGGCUUCAAGCUGUGACUCCUUGGAUUUCUCCAGCCCAGACUGUCCUGGGUUUCAAACCUGCAUAUUUAGCUGCCUCCUGGCCCUCUGAAGUUGCCACAGGCACCCAAAGUUGAACAUGUACAAAACUGAACUCACAUUUUCCCCACAUCUUACCCCUAUCACAUGCUAAAAUACUACAUCCCCUGUGUUCUGUACCAGUCCCCCAAGCUAGACACCUGGAAACCAUCUCUCAUCCAGCCCUCACCUCUCUUAUUGUCCCUCACAUCUCUUCUGUCCUUGCACAUUUGCUUCUGCCCUAACUCAAGGUACCUGUGCUUGUUGCCUGAACGGCUCUAACUAUGGCAGCUCUAGCUGGCACCCACCUUGCCUCUUCCAUCCAUACUAGACACAGUAGCAAGUGAUCCAUCUGAAACACAUCUCUAACCAAGCCCACUUAAAACCCUUUAGUGGCUCCUUUCAGAGCGAAGGCUGAGCUUCUCGGUAUAACAUUCAAAGCCCUUUGUGACCUCUCCAGUCUUUUGUCUUGAUGAGGACCCUCCCCAAGUCCACCUGAAGUUGCUGGCAAUCCUGGGAGCGCACCAGGCUGUUUCACACUUCCCUGUCUUUGUUCAUGCUACUUCCUCUGUUGAGAAGGCUCUGUGUCAUUCUGGAUGCCAUCAGGAGAGAGACAUCACACAGUCAGCAGGCAGGGAAAGUUCAACAUAAGCAUUUUGAAGUGUAACAGGGAAUUGAAGCUGUGAUGAACUGGCUAGUAAGAAGUAAAUAAAUAAAUAAAUAAACAAAUAAAAAUCUAAAGAAUAUAGGACUAGCAGAGUCUUCAGGCUGAGAUGGAGAGCCCAAGGAAGAGGCCCUCACCUCUCCACUCCAUUCCUGUCCAGGGCUGAGAACCACACCGUGCAGGACAGGACAUGGCCACAAUGAACAGUGUACAUUUAGAAGUGAGAGGAAAUAAAGGCAAUCAGCAAUAACCAGUUCGGGUUCCAUGCCUCUCAUCCACCCUAUAAUCCACCCUGUGCAAACAAACUCAUUUUUCAAGACUCAGUUCAAAUACCACCUUUUCCACAAAGACUUUUCCUCUUCUGCGUCUAUCCAGGAAAAAACUGAUUCCUCUUCCUUUGUGAUUGUAGAAUCUGCCCCCUCCUUGACACACAUACCUAUAACCUCAGUCAUACUUCUACUGGGGUACUUGUUUACCCCUACCUAGGGUUGCCAGAAAAAAAUCAGGACACUUAUUUAUUUUUUUUUUUUUUGAGAUGGAGUCUUGCUCUGUCACCCAGGCUAGAGUUCAGUGUCACGGCUCACUGCAACCUCUGCCUCCCAGGUUCAAGCAAUUCUUCUGCCUCCUGAGUAACUGGGACUACAGGUGUGCACCACCAUCCCCGGCUAAUUUUGUAUUUUUAGUAGAGACAGGGUUUCACCAUAUUGGCCAGGCUGGUCUCAAACUCUUGACCUCGUGAUCCGCCCACCUCGGCCUCCCAAAGUGCUGGGAUUACAGGCAUGAGCCACCGCACCUGGCCAUCUAUUUAAUUUUGAAUAUGAGAUAAACAACAAUUUUUUUUUUUUUGAGAUGGAGUCUCACUCUGUCGCCUAGGCUGGAGUGCAGUGGCACGAUCUCAGCUCACUGCAAGCUCUGCCUCCCAGGUUCACACCAUUCUCCUGAGUAGCUGGGACUACAGGCGCCCACCACCACGCCCAGCUAAUUUUUUGUAUUUUUAGUAGAGACAGGGUUUCACCAUGUUAGCCAGGAUGGUCUCGAUCUUCUGACCUCGUGAUCUGCCCUCCUCGGCCUCCUAAAGUGCUGGGAUUACAGGCGUGAGCCACUGCUCCCAGCCUUUUUUUUUUUUUUUUUUUUUUUUUGAGAUAGAGUCUUAUUCUGUCACCCAGGUUGGAGUGCAGUGGUACGAUUUUGGGCUCAAGCAAUCCUUCCACCUCAGCCUCCCAAGUAGCUGGACCACAGAUGCACGUCACCACACCUGGCUAAGUUUUUGUAUUUUUGGUAGAGACAGGGUUUCACUAUGUUGCCCAGGCUGGUCUUGAAUUCCUGAGCGCUAGCGAUCCACCUGUUUCAGCCUCCCAAAGUGCUGGGAUUACAGGGGUGAGCCACCACGCCCAGCCAAUUUUUUUGUAUAAGUAUGUCUCAAUUAUUGCAUUGGACAUACUGAAAACAAGUAUUUAGGCCAGGCAUGGUGACUCGCACCUGUAAUCCGAGCACUUUGGGAGGCCAAUGUGGGAGGAUCUCUUGAACUCAGGAGUUCGAGACCAGCCUGGGUAACAUAGCAAGAGCCCAUCUCUACCAAAAAAAUAAAAAUUAAAAAAAUUUAAAAAUUAGCCAGUCGUGGUAGAAUGCACCUGUAGUCUUAGCUAGUUAGGAGGCUAAGGUGAGAGGAUCGCUUGAGCCCAGGAGGUGGAGGUUGCAGUGAACUGAGAUCACACCACUGCACUCCAGCCCGAGGGACACAGCAAGACCCUAUCUAAAAAAAAAAAAGGUGUAUUUAUUGUUUACCUUAAAUCCAUUUUUUUUUUUGAGACAGAGUCUCACUUUGUCGCCAGGCUAGAGUGCAGUGGCACAAUCUUGGCUCACUGCAACCUCUGCCUCCCGGGUUCAAGCGAUUCUCCUGCCUCAGCCUCCCAAGUAGCUGGGACUACAGGUGCGUGCCACCACGCCCAGCUAAUUUUUAUAUUUUUAGUAGAGACCGGGUUUUACCAUGUUGGCUAGGGUGGUCUCACUCUCUUGACCUCAUGAUCCGCCCACCUCAGCCUCCCAAAGUGCUGGGAUUACAGGCAUGAGUCACCACGCAGGGCCUGAAAUCCAAAUUUAACAGGAUGUCUUUUACUUUUAUUUGCUACCCUACCCCUACUUCCAUCUCCAAGUAUAGUUUCCUUGAUGGCAAAACAUGUUUCUCACUGGUCUCUGAAUCCCUGAAACUAGCCCAGUGCACGACAGUUCAUGCUCGGUUAAUAUGAAGAGAAGGCAACUUAUCUGGCUGCAGCGCUGAGAAUGGUUGGAGGGAGUUGUGACUGGAGACAGUGAGACCAGGUAGGAGGAUGAGGAAUAAACCAUCCAAAAAAUUAUGAAGGCUUCAGCAGAAUAGCACUGGGGAUAGGGAAAGGGGAUGGAUCUGCAGGAUCUAAGGAUUUGGUGACCAAUGCUUAAGGGACAUGACAGAGCUUAAGGAGCCUAGGAGAUUGCCCAAGUUUCUGGCUGUGUCACUGGAUGAGGUUGGUGCACUCACUGAGCAGGGAACACUGGGGAGGGUCUGGAAGCUGGACAGCAGGGAAGCUCAUUGAUGUGAGGAGCAGAGCAGGCUGGAGAAGGGUGGACAGCAGAUCUGAAGGAGGAAACGGAAGACAUCCAGUAUGGAUAUGUUAAGCUUGAUGUCUCCCAGGAUAUACAGAUAGAGGUAUUGGAAUUACAGACUUGGGGCUCAGGUGAAUGUUCUAGGCUGGAGAUAAAAUGUGAGCAUGGUUAGCAUGGAGGUGGUAACUGAAACCACGGGAGUAGACAGUGCUGCUCAGGGAGAGAGUAGAAUGGGAAGAGGAGAGAGAGUCGGUAUCAGAGCUCUGAGGAACAUGAGAGGCAGAGAGAGGAAGAGGAACUCAGAAGUCGUCUGAGAACAAGCCUCUGGAGGAGUGGAAGGAGAACCCGGAGAGUAUUGGACCAAGAGAGUCACGGGAAGACAGGUUUUCAAGGAGGACUGACACUAUCGAAUGCUUCUGAGACUUCAAAGGACUAAAUGGCCUUUGGCUUUAGUAUUGACCAGAGUCACCUGUGGCCCCAGGAGCUACAAUGUGCCACCUGGUGACAGGUUAUAGCUACUAUGUGGUAAACAGAGGUACAGCUCUGCAGCCUGUUUCCUUUGGGGAAAACAACCUUUUCUUUCUUGCUUGCUUCUUGCUUUCUCUCUCUCUUUCCCCUUCCUUCCUUCCCUCUCUCCCUCCCUCCCCCUCCCUCCCUCCCCUCCUUCCCUCCCUCCCCUCCCUCCCUCCCUCCCCUCCUUCCUUCCCUCCCCUCCUUCCCUCCUUCACUGUCUUCCUUUUGAUUUGGGUUGUCCUGAGUUGCAAACUGAGGCUAAUUCAUAUGGGAAUGUGUUCUUGGAGCUGUUGCUGUCUUGUUCCGGACUCUGAGAUGUUGAGCACAAGCUGUCUGGGGCCCAGAAUGCAGCCUCCAGCUGGGGUGAGCCCUGUUCCCUCAAAAGCUGGCAGCCUGGGGAAUGUUGACAGCCAGCACCUUUGGCUUGGGCUGUGGCCCUCUCACUGUGAGCAUUGUCAGAGAUGGCUUCAGUCAGUCUCCUUUACUGGCUCUGGAGCAGCCGUGUCUACUGAGUGGCAGGGUUUGGGGACUAGGCUAGGCUUUAAAGUCUCACUAGCAGGGGGCUGCCUGGCCCCAAUAACCCUGGAAUUGACAGAAUGUCCUUCUCUGCCUGCAGCCAGCCCUCUGUAAACUGUAUGGCCCUGGGGCCAUUUUCUUUGCAGGAGGGAAGGUGGAACUAAGGAUCCCGAAUCCGUUUGGAGGCAGAGAGGGGCCAACAGGGUGUUUGAAGGGAGCAAAGGCAUCGAAAUUUUUGGAGCAUCUAGAACUGGGGCAGUGAAUGCAGAAGAGUGGGAGCACACACACGUUUCUCCUCCUUGACCCAGAAUGGGCACAGCCUUCAGAGAGCUCUUGCCAGCUCCUCACUCUAGCCUGGGUGAAGGGGGCAUCUGUGCCAAAGCAGGAAGGCACACAGGCGGAUUGGAAGGAAUUUCUCUCAGCAGCGUCAAAUGCCUGAGGGAUCUCGCCCUCGACCCUCUCCAUCUCUCAUGGUACUCUCAUUCACCCCCGGCUGCAGCUCCUGCCUCUGUGCUGACAGCUGUCACAUCAAUCCAGCCCAGACCUCCCUCGGCAGCUCUAGACCAGCAGAUCCCACUGCCUCCUGACAACCCCUCUGGAUGUCCCACAGUUCCUCAGACUUAGCAUCCUUUCCAAAUCCAUGCCCCCAUCUCAUUUCCAAAAAAGAAAAAUCAUAGAGGCCUCCCCAAUACAAAUGCAUAGGACAUGGGAAACAAGGUUUGAAAGGAUAUCCAGAAAAGCUUAGGGAUAGCCCUGGCCUUUUGGAGGUGACUUGGGGGUGGUAUGAGAGGCCAGAGUCAGCAGUAACUUCUCCUUUCUUCCCCACGAAGGUGUGGACUUCUUAGCUUCCUGUCCUUUUCGUACCAUUUGCCAAAUUGAAUUUAAAUAAUUAUUACUGUAAUUGCUUACUUAUUGUCUGUCUCUCCUGGUUGAAGCUUCUCAAGGGCAGGGAUCAUGUCUGUUUCACUUCUGUAUCCUUGGCAUCUGUCAUAUAAUCAGUAUCUGACAUAUAAUAGGUGCUUAAUAAAUAUUUGUUUGAAUUAAUGAAUAUCCUUGUUCAUCACCCAAGAUGCAGAUCCUGCUGGGGCCCUUAUCUUUUCCUGCCUCCUUAUCCACAUGGAGCUCUGUGCUUUGCUCACCGGAGCCAGCACCCCACCGCACCCUCUACCAACCCUCGGUUUUUUUCAGAUGCCCUCAUGCCCUGGGCUGCUUCAUGGAAUGUGGAUAGUGAGUUAACCAUGCUGGCCUGUCUGCAAGCAGAGGCAUGUGUAUAUCUGACAAGGCACCCUCAAGACAAUUCCCUGGAUGGUAAGACACUGAUCAAUGACAGUGGGGUGGGGCAAUGGGUGCUUCUCUGUGUCUUUACCCACUAAGCGGGGGCCACAAAGAUGCCAGAGGUCACAGAGACAGGGCUUUCUCCACAGAAGCCUCUGUAGUCUCUUUCCCCAGAGGUAAGCCCAGGUUCGAGGCCUGGCCAGUGCCAGAGUCUGUGAGAAGUGGGUC